rnacentral:rRNA from 1 species
AACGAACGUUAGCGGCGCGCUUAACACAUGCAAGUCGCACGAGAAAGGGAGCAAUCCCCGGUACAGUGGCGCACGGGUGAGUAACACGUAGGUAAUCUUCCCUCGAGUGGUGGAUAACCUUCCGAAAGGGAGGCUAAUACAGCAUAAGACCACGGGAGCGAAAGCUUCUGAGGUCAAAGCCGGCCUCUAUACAUAAGCUGGCGCUUGAGGAUGAGCCUGCGGCCCAUCAGCUAGUUGGUAGGGUAAUGGCCUACCAAGGCGAAGACGGGUAGCUGGUCUGAGAGGAUGAUCAGCCACACUGGAACUGAGACACGGUCCAGACUCCUACGGGAGGCAGCAGUGGGGAAUCUUGCGCAAUGGGCGAAAGCCUGACGCAGCGACGCCGCGUGAGUGAUGAAGG